rnacentral:tRNA from 1 species
GCAUUGGUGGUUCAGUGGUAGAAUUCUCGCCUGCCGCGUGGGAGACCCGGUUUCGAUUCCCAGCCAAUGCA